UACGUAGGGUGCGAGCGUUGUUCGGAAUCAUUGGGCGUAAAGCGAGCGUAGGUGGUUUGCUAAGUCGGGUGUGAAAUCCCUGGGCUCAACCCAGGAAGUGCAUUCGAAACUAGCUCACUUGAAGAUGGUAGAGGAAGGUGGAAUUCCAAGUGUAGCGGUGAAAUGCGCAGAUAUCAGGAGGAACACCGGUGGCGAAGGCGGGUCUCUGGGCAACAACUGACGCUGAGGAGCGAAAGCGUGGGGAGCGAACAGG
rnacentral:rRNA from 1 species